rnacentral:rRNA from 1 species
GCUUACGGCCAUGCCACGUUGAAAGUAUGACGACUCGCCGAUCUGUCAAGUUGGGCGAGGUUUGGCCUAGUUGGUACUUGAAUUGGAGACGAAUGGGAAUCCCGAGUGCUGUAAGCA